CCAUGUUCCAGAAGACUUGAAACUCCGAGAACUGUGCCCCAUUCUCCUAUUUUUCUCAUGUGUUGCAGGACUUGGCUCUCUCUAACAUUUCAUUCUCCAGACGUGAUUCAGAGCAGAAGUUUCAUUACAUCUUGACAUUUUCCACCCAGUCUGAAAGUCCUGCACGCGGGCCUAUCCUGAGGCUCUCUUGCUGUUUGUUCAGUAACUAAUUAGCGCUGGUACAGGAACAAGUAUAGCCUCCAGGUUGUUGCCAAGACCAACGGCAUCCAAUUCCACUGGAGACGCUGUCAAUCGAGGCAAGUCUGCAUGUGCGAUACCGCAAUACAAAGUGAGCUGGAGUCUCCAACUCGUUUUUGUCACUUCAUUAUUAAUACUGUCAUCGGAAGUAAAAUUUCAAAGAGACUCGUCGACACAAAUGGCAAGCGUGCACUCUCACUACUUCGCUCAAUCUGCAAUACCCUGGGCAAUACCCCGGGAUCACCACCUGAGCUGAAGGCAGCCUCGCCCGCUUCCCCCAGAGCGGGGAAGGGCCCUCCGCACAGCGGCCCUGGAGUCUGGCUGUGCGCCUAGCCGGAAAGGACCUGCCUGAAUUACUUUUUUUUUUUUUUUUCCCUGCCUGGGUGCUCACAGCCAGGGGGGCUUCAUCUCCAUGGUAGCCUAACGUGGGGCAGCCGGACUGUAGCUGAGGAGGGAGCGGCCUGGAGCUGACCUCGACGCACGCAGCAUCUUCCCCAGGGUGCGUCUCUGGGAAGCACUCGGCUCAUCUAACCCUCUUACUUGUCAGAUGAGGAAACUGAGACCCCAGAGGCCCCAAGAUCAACUUGAAUCAAAGUGGAUUGAAUUUUGGAGAUCGGGCCCAAGACAGCUUUGCCUGCCACCCUCAUUCAAGUGCCUUCCGGGACCCGAUGAGCUGUGGAGCAACUCGGUAGGUGGAUGACUGUCUCUGUCACCUGUGUAACGCCUCCAGGGAUUCCAGAGCUGGGUCCUUCCACAGUCUUGAACUCUACUGCACUUCAACACACACACGCACAGACACACACACGCAGGCACCCAUACGCAGACACACACCUCCAACAGAAAGGCAUGAUCACACAAAGAAAAAUCAUCCCUUCUGAAACCUACCUGAAGACGGAAGGCCUGAUUCUAAACCUAAGUCGAAAGGACCUGGGGACCUACAGCCUGUUGAUAGAUGUCUCUGGAUUUGUCUGGAUGGACUCUUUGAAAUUGCAAUGGAUGUGCCCGUUCUAGAAGGAUACUGAAGCCUAGCAGGGUUCUGUGACUUUCCCAGUGUCACACAACAGAUGAACAGCAGAAUGAGUUCAAUAGAAACCAGCCACCUAAGCAUUUGCCAUACCUGUGGCCUCCACCCUGAGCACAGCAUGAACUGUCCCUCUGACAGGCUGAGGGAGCCGCUGCCCCUCACCAGGAAGGGUGUCUUCUUGCUUUGACAUAGCAGGCCAGCAGCAGCUCCUGACGGUGUGGCCUCAAGGAAUGGAAACCCAGUCAACACAGAGAAGUCAGGGGGACUCUCCCCAGCAUCAACGGGGCGAUGGAGCGGUGUCACCCAUGGGGGAGUCAGCAGGCCAGGGAGUCUGCGUGGGCUGGCUUACAUCCAACGUUGCGGCCUACUGGAUCGAUCCGUGGGAUCCGUGGUAUGGGCAAGUCACUCACCCUCAGUUUCCUCAUCUAGAAAACAAGAGAAAGAGUUGAACCACACUAGUGAUAAGGACACUCCAAUUAACCCAAUGAUGAGAUACGGCUUUAUGUCUAUCAGAUUGACAAAGCUUUUUAAAAGAUAGUGAUCAGUGCUGAUGAAGGUCGGUAACAGAAGCUGGCUCAUUCACUGCGGGAAGGUGUGGCGGAUUGAAAUCACUAAUUAAAUACCGAGUCUUUGAAAUUCACAUAUCCUUUUCCCCCAGAGAUUACACUUCUAGGAAUUUGCUGCAAGAAAUGAAUAAAGACUCCUAACUCUGGGAAACGAACUAGGGGUGGU